GGCAGCGCGCGAUAAAAGGGAGCGACGUCAGAGGCCUCAGUUUAUUUGGGACAAGCUGUUUGCAUUCUCGAGAUACCGCGCGAGUUUCGGAGAAGCGGCGGGCCUGAUCGAACAGUUGACAGUCGUGUCCUGUCUGAUAGCCUCGCACACACCUCCGAGGAGCGGCAUACGGUAGAGCUAACGGCUGCACAGCUACCUAACGUGGACGGGGCAGAUGAUUGUGAUUUCGCUCUGGACCGACAGGUUAUUAAUCUUGCUGAAGAAGAGGACGAUGCUACCGAAUUUCCUGAAGAGCUUAUAAGAUGGGUCGAAUAGGAGAGCUUCGAGAAUUCCCGCAGAUGAUCAGCGUUCCGGCUGCAAGGGGUCCAUCCACCUGCCGCAGCGCCUACAGGGAGCGCCAAAUGUGGACACAAAAAUGAUUUAUUGAAGACAAAAGUGU